AGCUUUGUGCAGUGGCAGUAUCAUAGCCAAUGAGGUUUAUCCGAGGCUCGAUUAUUGCUAAUUGAAAACUUUUCCCACAAAUGAUGUCACUGAAAACAGGUUAUUUACUAAUUAUUAGUCCUUACAUGUAUAUGAAUUGUAA